CGAUCCAAGGCCCUUGACGAAAUCAGCCUGGUUGCUGUCUUCUUCGUCAGCCUUUCAUUCCAGAUGAAGAACACCUUUGAAACCACCUCUAAAAAAUCCAAGAUCUGGUACCCAACCAGAUCAGACCUGGACCGAGGUCCUCUAAUUCAUAGAUCUCAAAUCAGGAUGUUCUAGAUAGGGUAGAAGAUAGAUGGAGAUAGACC
rnacentral:lncRNA from 1 species